rnacentral:rRNA from 1 species
UACAGAGGGGGCAAGCGUUAUUCGGAAUUAUUGGGCGUAAAGGGCGCGUAGGCGGCCUGGCGAGUGGAAGGUGAAAUCCCUCGGCUUAACCGAGGAACUGCCUCCCAAACUGCUUGGCUUGAGACCAGGAGAGGUGAGUGGAAUUCCCAGUGUAGCGGUGAAAUGCGUAGAUAUUGGGAGGAACACCAGUGGCGAAGGCGGCUCACUGGACUGGUACUGACGCUGAGGCGCGAAAGCGUGGGGAGCAAACGGG